rnacentral:tRNA from 1 species
CAGCUGUAGCUCAGUUGGUUAGAGCGCCUGGUUGUGGUUCAGGAGGUCGGUAGUUCGAAUCUACCCAGCU